rnacentral:misc_RNA from 1 species
UUAUCCGGAUUUAUUGGGUUUAAAGGGUCCGUAGGCGGACUUAUAAGUCAGUGGUGAAAGCCUGUCGCUUAACGAUAGAACUGCCAUUGAUACUGUAAGUCUUGAGUAUAUUUGAGGUAGCUGGAAUAAGUAGUGUAGCGGUGAAAUGCAUAGAUAUUACUUAGAACACCAAUUGCGAAGGCAGGUUACCAAGAUAUAACUGACGCUGAGGGACGAAAGCGUGGGGAGCGAACAGGA